AGCGAACGCUGGCGGCAGGCCUAACACAUGCAAGUCGAACGGAACCUUCGGGAUUAGUGGCGGACGGGUGAGUAACACGGGGGAAGGUGCCCUUUGGUUCGGAACCACUCAGUGUAACUUGAGCUAAUGACGGAUGGGCCCUUAGGGGGAACGAUUUACUGCCAUUGGCGCGGCCCGGGACGGCUUAGCUGGUUGGUGAGGUAACCGCCGGCCAAGGGCACGUUCAUUAGCUGGUCGGUGAGGAUGCUCCGCAACACUGGAACUGCGCCCCGGCCCACACUCCUACGGAAGGGAGGAGUGGGUAAUCUUGCGCACUGGGCGCAAGCCUGACGCAGCCGCGCCGCGGAAAUGAUGAAGGUGUUAGGAAUGUAAAUUUCUCUGAGCGGGGGCGAUAAUGACGGUACCCGGAGAAGAAGCACCGGCUAACUACGUG
rnacentral:rRNA from 1 species